CGCCAGCCAGACAGCUAGCCCCGCACCGCAGGAGUCGACACACACGGCAGCCUAGACGCCAUCAGUUAAACUUAUAUGAGCAGGUGCUGACCUCUGCGAUUCUAAACCAUCCACUUUGGGCAAAAUUCAUCAUGGAUAUGAAAAAAGGCUCCCAAGGAUAUGAUUCAUAGUCCAGCGUUUGUGUGAGCACUCCAGUCAGAACGAACUCUGCAUUGUGAACAUCUGAACAGGGU